UACUUUGCGCAGUGGCAGUAUCAUAACCAAUGAAGUUAAUCUGAGGUGUGAUUAUUGCUAGUUGAAAACCUCAAAUACACAGGAUAGAACUUGUCCUAUGCAUGAGUGCA
rnacentral:snRNA from 1 species